AACGAACGUUGGCGGCGUGGAUUAGGCAUGCAAGUCGAACGCGCAAGAGGGGCUUGCUCCUCAAGCGAGUGGCGAACGGGUGAGUAACGCGUGGGAAACCUGCCCCGAAGCGUGGAAUAACACUCCCAACGGGGUGCUAAUACCGCAUGGUAUCGCCGGGUGGCAUCAUUUGGCGAUUAAAGGUGGGGACCGUAAGGCCUGCCACUUUGGGAUGGUCCCGCGUCUGAUUAGCUUGUUGGUGAGGUAACGGCUCCCAAGGCGACGAUCAGUAGCUGGUCUGAGAGGAUGGUCAGCCACACUGGGACUGAGAUACGGCCCAGACUCCUACGGGAGGCAGCAGUCGAGAGGCUUCGGCAAUGGGCGAAAGCCUGACCGAGCGACGCCGCGUGAGCGAUGAAGCCCUUCGGGUGUAAAGCUCUUUUGUGAGGGAAGAACUACAACGGCCCAAUACGCUGUUGUUUGACGGUACCUUGCGAAUAAGCUCCGGCUAACUCCGUGCC
rnacentral:rRNA from 1 species